UGACAUCCUUCUAACCACUUAACAAGUAUGACAAAAUACAGGAUAGACCACUUCAACGUCAAUGAAAAAAAAUAUUUAGAAUCAUAAAAAAAAUGCAAUUUAAUGAAUGGCACUCCACUUUUAAUGAGGGCAGAAUGAUUCAAGUUGCACAAUUAAUCCCUAACAUCUACUAUUUCAGUCAUGUCUUGGGAGUUCAUGAACAGAAUCAUAGUGAAAUCAGCUCAGUUCAGAAGGACACACUUGAACACUCCUUUUCUUAUGCAUAAAAGCUAGAAACAAUGAUAUCAAGGAAGAAAAAAAACUUCUCUGCAAAGGAAGAACUACAAUCCUGUGCACUUUGAACAAUAGAUCUGAUAACGGACAGUGAUGAGGGUGUCUCCACAGAAAGAUUCCUCACAACUUCUUAAUCUUCAACUGUUUCUCCUUGUUCAAACAUCAACACCUUCCUAAUAUCACAUGGUUAUC